rnacentral:rRNA from 1 species
UGGGGAAUAUUGCGCAAUGGGGGAAACCCUGACGCAGCGACGCCGCGUGCGGGAUGAAGGCCUUCGGGUUUUAAACCGCUUUUGAUUGGGAGCAAGCCUUUUGGGUGAGUGUACCUUUCGAAUAAGCGCCGGCUAACUACGUGCCAGCAGCCGCGGUAAUACGUAGGGCGCAAGCGUUAUCCGGAAUUAUUGGGCGUAAAGAGCUUGUAGGCGGUUCGUCGCGUCUGGUGUGAAAGCACAUCGCUUAAAGGUGGGUUUGCGCCGGGUACGGGCGGGGUAGAGUGCAGUAGGGGAGACUGGAAUUCCCGGUGUAACGGUGGAAUGUGUAGAUAUCGGGAAGAACACCAAUGGCGAAGGCAGGUCUCUGGGCUGUUACUGAAGCUGAGAAGCGAAAGCGUGGGGAGCGAACAGG